CACAGUGUGUAAAGGCUGUAGGGGAACUCGUGCAGCUGAAGCUAACUCCUUUGACAAGUCAUCAGCUAUGGAAAUGUCUUCGUUUCAAGCUGUUCGCUUAGCUAAGAGUAAAUCUGGGAUAGAUAUUGCCGUAAAAGAGUAGAAAUAGCUAAAGCAAUAUAGUUUUACCCCUAAAAGAUAACAGAAAGCCUGAAGAAUGAUAUGGAUCUAUGUAUAGACAAAGUGAACAUACGACAGAAUUAUAAUGUUGAACAAUUGACAGAUAUCAGUGCAUAAAGUAUGCACAAUAUUUUAAAGACUUUUAACACAAAUAAAACCGAUGGCUAACCUCUGUAACACCUUCCUGUGUGAAUGAUACUUAAACAUUGUUGCAGAUUGUAAGCCUAUUUGGCUAACUCGUGUUUGAAUAUUCAACAUAGAUUAUAGUUUUGACCUAAAGAUUUAAUUACAAUUUUAAACUUUUAAGUUUACAUAAUUACAACACUGGUUAAAACUGGGAUAGUAGGCCUAAUAUUCAUAAGAUAUGUUACAUACAAAAUUAAAUGCCUAAAUAGAUUCUAGCGUUCCUAUCUUUAAAAAGUCAAUUUAGUUCAACUUUGACCACCGAACAGUUUGUGAUGUCAUAGAGAGAUUUAUCAAAAUAUAUUUUUGUAUUUACACACGAAACAAAA
rnacentral:sRNA from 1 species